ensembl:lncRNA
GACCUCUCAGGUAUUAACAGACAGAGAACACAAAGGUAAGUAUAAAUGGGUUUAUUUCACAGAAGUGCCAGAUGACAGCAAAUGGUAAACAGCAAAUAGUAUACUGAGAGUUCUGGUUAGCACUUAGCUUUCUUGGUAACAGAGUCUUUCUUAUCCCUUGCAGGAGCGUGGUGAGAGAAUGUGAAUAAAGGAAUGGAAGGAGAACGAGAGGACAAUCCUCAGUUAGGCAAAUCAACGGGCUUGGUUGGCUGCAAUAAGAAGAAAGGACCUUACUUUCGAUCUCCCCCCCCAGUCGAUGAGAGUGUGUUCUCUGCAUUUUCACUCGGGACAAUCUAAAAUGAUGGAUGACCCCAUUUUAAACCUGCCAGAGUCAUAACAAACAACAAGACCUGGAGUAACAAGAUAAGUGGGCAUGGCUUAUGGUCAAAAGUAAACCCAAAAUCUGCAUUUUAAUCCCAGUUCAACUGCUUCUGUGUUUUACUAAUGAAAACAUUCAAAAUGUCACUGAAGGACUCCAAGCUGUAUGAUGUCAUGAAGAAACAUUUCCAAACGUAACUGACACUUAUUAUAUCCACAGUGACUUAUAUAGUGACAAUUUACAUACUAGAGCAACAGUUGUCCUGAAGCAAGCAGAGUGCAUUAUUCUUCACAAUCUAUUUUUAUUCCUCAGGAACUGAGUGUUUAAGACUGAGGUGUGAAUUGGCAUAAAGACCUCAGGCCCAGAAGCUUUUAAGACCACCUAUAAAGAAGAAACUAUUGAAUGAUACAUCUCUGCUUGUAUUUCCCCAUGUUUACAAAGGAAGUCGUCCUCUUUUCAAACCAGAGAUAAUGCAUAAUUUAUGAGCACAUGAAUUAUGAAGUGCUGUUGAUAAGAAGACUCAGCUCAGUCUCCUGCGGUCCGUCUUCACAGGAUUCCUGUCUUUCUUACUGAUAUUAUCAAUUACAGUCAUUCUGGUAGAAGACAACAGCAUUUUUUUUUGCAUGUUUCUGUUUAGUCAUUUUUUUUAAUUUGCAUAAUUUUACUUGUCAUUUAAUUUUACUUUCUUCUGUUUUCUGCAUAUUACCUGUACUGUAUUGUGAAGUUUAUUUAUGCAUUCUGCUUUUUACUGAAAAAAAAUCAUAGUUAAUCAUUCUAAUCAUUCUAAUAUACAGAUUUACUACUCAAGCAACAUUUUGCACAACANAAACUUUAGGAUGGUAACACAUAAAAUAUUAUUAUUUUUAAUUGUACAAAAAUGUAUAAUUUUUUUAUUAACAAAAACACAAGUAAAUUUUUUUUAUAAAUAUAUAAUAUAUAAGUGAGCAGAAGCAAAACGAACAUUAUUUUCACAGUUUU